AAUGAACGCUGGCGGCAGGCCUAACACAUGCAAGUCGAACGAGUGGCGGACGGGUGAGUAAUGUCUGGGAAACUGCCCGAUGGCGGGGGAUAACUACUGGAAACGGUAGCUAAUACCGCAUACCAUCGGAUGUGCCCAGAGGGGAUUAGCUAGUCGGUGGGGUAAUGGUUCACCUAGGCGACGAUGCCUAGCUGGGCCGAGAGGAUGACCAGCCACACUGGAACUGAGACACGGUCCAGACUCCUACGGGAGGCAGCAGUGGGGAAUAUUGCACAAUGGGCGCAAGCCUGAUACAGCCAUGCCGCGUGUAUGAAGAAGGCCUUCGGGUUGUAAAGUACUGUCAGCGGGGAGGCGUUACCCGCAGAAGAAGCACCGGCUAACUCCGUGCCAGCAGCCGCGGUAAUUC
rnacentral:rRNA from 1 species